CACUUAUCAUCCACAACAGCUGAUUGAAAAGCUCCACAUACUGGGCUUCAACACACUUCUCUGCAACUGGAUCCUGGACUUCCUCAUUGAAAGACCACAGACAGUCAGCAUAGGCAACAGAACCUCUAGCACCAUCACACUGAGCACCAGCUCCUGUUCACCUUGCUGACAGAUGACUGCACCGCCAGAUCUAACUCCAACCACAUCGCAAUGUUUGCAGAUGACACAACCGUUGUUGGGACUCGUCACAAACAACGAUGAGAGGCGCUACAAAGAGGAGGUGGCGCAACUGGCUACGCGGUGUGUCAACAAUAACCUCUCCUUAAACGUGGAGAAGACUAAGGAGAUGGUUAUUGACUUCAGAAAACACCACACUGACUUUCCUGUUUUACUUCUGCUCUCUUUUGGUGGAGGCUUGCUCAUAACUAGUCUGAAGAUGUGAACAACAGAAGGUGAAACCUCAAAAUCAAGAGUCAUGAGUUAGGAAUGAAAGCUAGCAGAGCCUAAACCAGGAGCUCUCUUCCAAUAGGAACUUUUCAAAUCCUUACCGGCGGACUUGCUCAUCAUCGCAAGAUCCAGACAUCAGCCUUUUUACCCCAGCACAUCUUACUCCAUUCUUCAUGAGAAGCCACCACAGGGUGCAAACAAGUAUUUCUACAAAACCGUCAUCAACUUGCUUUAAAACCCUGGUGAUUCAUAAUUUGUAACUUCAACUGACAAGUCAGAACUAAGCUGUUUGACUCAAAUGUUCAAUAGUUUAAUGAAACAUACUGGAGUAUAUAUGACAACUGGUCAAAUGAAGCUUGAGUGGGUAGAUGACGUAAGAGUAGAUAAGACAGAGGCACCAGAGAAAGGAGGAUGGUUCACAGCCUUCUCCGUGAUACGGUGAGCCAGGGAGUAAAACUGAUGCAACAAAUCAAAAAGGACAAGGUCAGAGUUUUCUCAGCAGGGAGUGUAACAGAUUAUUCACAACAAUUAUUUAUCUCCAGUUGACUUGUAUGACUUAUAAAGUCUGGGUGAAGCAACACAAUAUACAUGUUAGAAAAUAAGUGCUGAAAACAUGUGAAAAGACUGAAAUGUAGAAGCCUGAUGAAUUAUGAAGUUAGAACGUUAAACUGUAUUUUUCUCCAUUUUCUUGUUCACGAUUUUUUUUGGGUGGCACCCCUGAAACGGCCUGGAAAUGGCCUCGAUGACACACUGGAGCCAUCCUGUGAUGAUUCUGUUAGGUUUUUUUUUGGUUGUUGGAUGUUUUUGUGUUUGCUUGCUCUCUUUUCCCUUCCCCUCUGUAUUUUCCUCCUGGCAGGGCAUGUGUGUGGCAGGGGGGGUUUGGCUGGCUCCGCCUUCGGCAGCAGACGAGGCACACCAGGUUCCACUCAAUUCAUCAACCUCUCCAUAAAAGCCUGGUCGCCACUCCACUACGGAGCCAGAUAAUUCCGUCUCAUUUGAUCAUCCGGUUUGCCUCGCUGCUGCUGCUGCUUCCACGUCUCCAGUGAUUGAGAUAUCCCAUGUGCUCAGUCCUCGUGUUCCAUUCUCUACUUGCCACGAGCCAGCCAGCUCUCUGCCCUCCAGCUUGCGUUUUUUUCCUCUUCGUUGGAAAAUAAAUUCUGUUGAUUUUUGA